UAGAGGAGCAAUGUCUAAGAGGCGAAGCAUAAGGCGUAAGCCAAUGUGGAUUUUAGAGAAGAGAGAAUGCUGGCAUGAGUAGCGAGAGGUGAGUGAGAAUCUCACCCGUCGAAAACCCAAGGUUUCCUGAGCAAGGCUCGUCCACUCAGGGUAAGUCGGGACCUAAGGCGAGGCUGAAAAGCGUAGUCGAUGGAAAACAGGUGGAAAUUCCUGUACCGAUAUCAAGCGUUAAAAAGUAAGUGGGGACGCAGGAGGAUAGCAGCAGCGCCCAGUUGGUGAGGCGUGCAAGCACAAAGGCUAAGAGUGAGGCAAAUCCCGCUCUUAUUAAGGCUGAAGUGUGAAGCGGAUCGAAAAACAAGUAGAGAAGGAUGUAACUCCACACUGCCAAGAAAAGCCACUAUCAAGUAAGAUAUCGCCCGUACCGUAAACCGACACAGGUAGGUGAGGAGAGAAUCCUAAGACGAGCGGAAGAACCUUUGUUAAGGAACUCGGCAAAAUGACCCCGUAAGUUAGCGAGAAGGGGAGCCCCUGAAUAGGGGGCCGCAGUGAAAAGGCCCAAGCGACUGUUUACCAAAAACACAAGUUUCUGCAAAGUCGAAAGACGAAGUAUAGGAGCUGACACCUGCCCGGUGCUGGAAGGUUAAGGGGAAGAGUUAGUCGAAAGGCGAAGCUUAGAACCGAAGCCCCAGUAAACGGCGGCCGUAACUAUAACGGUCCUAAGGUAGCGAAAUUCCUUGUCGGGUAAGUUCCGACCCGCACGAAAGGUGUAACGAUUUGGGCACUGUCUCAACAAAGGAUCCGGUGAAAUUGUAGUAGCGGUAAAGAUGCCGCUUACCCACGACAGGACGGAAAGACCCCGUGGAGCUUUACUGUAGGUUGACAUUGGAUUUUGAGUUUGAAUGUACAGGAUAGGUGGGAGACUAAGAAGCAAGUGCGCCAGCAUUUGUGGAGUCAACCUUUGGAUACCACCCUUUCAAGCUUAGGAUUCUAACCUAACCCCUUGAAUCAGGGGAAGGGACACUGUCAGUCGGGCAGUUUGACUGGGGCGGUCGCCUCCGAAAGAGUAACGGAGGCGUUCAAAGGUUCCCUCAGCACGGACGGAAAUCGUGCGAAGAGUGCAAAGGCAAAAGGGAGCUUAACUGCGAGACCAACAAGUCGAGCAGAUAGGAAACUAGGACUUAGUGAUCCGGUGGUACCGAGUGGAAGGGCCAUCGCUCAACGGAUAAAAGCUACCCCGGGGAUAACAGGCUUAUCUCCCCCAAGAGUCCACAUCGACGGGGAGGUUUGGCACCUCGAUGUCGGCUCGUCUCAUCCUGGGGCUGAAGUAGGUCCCAAGGGUUGGGCUGUUCGCCCAUUAAAGAGGCACGCGAGCUGGGUUCAGAACGUCGUGAGACAGUUCGGUCCCUAUCCGUCGUGGGCGUAGGAAAUUUGAGAGGAGCUAUCCUUAGUACGAGAGGACCGGGAUGGACGAACCUCUGGUGCAUCAGUUGUCUUGCCAAAGGCACAGCUGAGUAGCUAAGUUCGGACGGGAUAAGAGCUGAAGGCAUCUAAGCACGAAGCCCCCCUCAAGAUGAGAUUUCCCCGUAGAUAAGACCCCUUGAAGAAAACGAGGUAGAUAGGCUCAAGGUGUAAGAGUAGUAAUACUUUAAGCUAACGAGUACUAAUAGGUCGAAGACUUGAUCAA
rnacentral:rRNA from 1 species